AGGGAGGUAGCUCAAAAAGGCUAGAGCGCUGGCCUCCAAAGCCAGAGGAUGAAGGUUCAAAUCCUUCCCUCCCUGCCA
rnacentral:tRNA from 1 species